AGGAUGAACGCUGGCGGCGUGCCUAACACAUGUAAGUCGAACGUGAGGAUGCAGCAAUGUAUCUGAAAGUGGCGGACGGGUGAGUAACACGUAGGUAACCUGCCUCGAAGUGGGGGAUAACCAUUGGAAACGAUGGCUAAUACCGCAUGGUCUUGUAUAAGUGGGAGCUUAGACAAGUAAAGCCUUGGCGCUUCGAGAGGGGUCUGCGUCCGAUUAGCUAGUUGGUAGGGUAAAGGCCUACCAAGGCGAUGAUCGGUAGCUGGUCUGGGAGGACGAUCAGCCACACGGGAACUGAGAAACGGUCCCGACUCCUACGGGGGGCAGCAGUGAGGAAUAUUGCACAAUGGGCGCAAGCCUGAUGCAGCAACGCCGCGUGGAGGAUGAAGGUUUUCGGAUUGUAAACUCCUUUAUGAAGGAAAAGACGGAUGGUACCUCGUGAAUAAGUCACGGCUAACUACGUGCCAGCCGAGCCGC
rnacentral:rRNA from 1 species